CCUACGGGAGGCAGCAGUGGGGAAUAUUGCACAAUGGGGGAAACCCUGAUGCAGCGAAGCCGCGUGAGUGAAGAAGUACUUAGUUAUGUAAAGCUCUAUUAGCAGGGAAGAAAAUGACGGUACCUGAGUCAGUAUCCACGGCUAACUACGUGCCAGCAGCCGCGGUAACACGUAGGGUGCAAGCGUUAUUCGGAUUUACUGGGUGUAAAGGGAGAGUAGAAGGCAGUGCAAGGUUGGAGGGAAAAUCGGGGGGUCAACCCUCGGACUGCUCUUGAAACUGUACGGCUGGAGUGCAGGAGAGGUAAGCGGAAUUCCUGGUGUAGCGGUGAAAUGCAUAGAUAUUACGAAGAACCCCAGUGGCGAAGGCGGCUUACUGGACUGUAACUGACGUUGAAGCUCGAAAGCGUGGGUAGCAAACAGGAUUAGAUACCCUUGUAGUC
rnacentral:rRNA from 1 species